AUAGUGCGAGAACGCACUUCUUGGUUUUGAGGAAAGGGGACAGAUUUGCCCUGUGCUGGCUAACGCCAGUAAGACUGUUUGACCAAGCAUGGAUCAGAGUUCACCUGGACCUGGGACUUCGAAAACGCCAGAAUUUGAAGGGUCAUAAAUGAAUGAGUGGAGAGAGAUGGUGGACUCUCAAUCUGAACCGACAACAGCACCUUCAGUUGGGAGGCAGUUUAUGGAGAGACUGCUGACAAGGCUGCAGGAAGUGCUGCAACAUCAGCCUUUGGAUUUGGAUUAUUUAUGUUUUGUUUUGAGCCAUGAAAUGAGAUUCUUACAAUCUUUUGCUGCUAUAGUAGAGCUCCCACAAAAUGUUGUUCAGUCUUUAUCUGAAGUUUUGAGACUACUUCAUCUCCAAGAGGAGGAGAGACUUCCAGCAUCUACUUGUGUAGAGGUGCAGGGUGGUGGUAGGGGGCAGCCCAAGUUUGUUAUAUCCAAAGAAUAUCUGCAAAAUCUAAUUGACAUGCAGCUGUCAAUCCCCUCUGUAGCUGAGCUUCUUGGUGUCUCUGAAAGGACAGUGUUUCGUCAGAUGAAUGAAUAUGGUCUAUC